AGUACUUUCUCUCAUCAAGGCUGAGAAUAGGUGAGGGCUCAAGUCUUAAACCUGUUAUUCCACAACAUGAUGUAGGAUUAUCUUGUGAUGAACGUAUUGAAUGACAAGCAUAUGUCUGACUUGUUAUGAUGAUUGUCAUUAUUCUGAUUUAAUUGAUGGUUAGUCUAAGACUGCAUAGGCCUCCAACUAGUUGGCUUAUUUCUACUUUUUUGUUACGGACUUGGUAACUGCCAGCAGUUAAUCUUGUUUAUAGUCCUGUGUUGUGUCUUUGCUGAGCCUAUUGUUGGUUAAACAAAUCCAUAUCAAGUGUACCCAGGUUCACAUGGUGGGUGGUUUCUUUUCCAGGUUGUGGGCAUUGCAGAGGCCUAGUUGAGGAUGCACUUCUUGGAUUGUGGUCUGGGAGUUGGUCAAUCUCCUGGAUGUGUGGUGGUUGAAGGGCCAACAUGAGAACCUCAUCUGAACUAAGGUGAGUUUUGCAACAUCCACUACAUUUCUGUGAUUCAGUUUCUAUGAUGAAGAUACUUAGCUCACUUUGAACCAAUGUGAAAAGUAAACGAACUACUGAGAAACUAGUCUAAAGGGAAUAUUUCCAAGUUAAUUUGUAUCCAG
rnacentral:lncRNA from 1 species